GACGAACGCUGGCGGCGUGCUUAACACAUGCAAGUCGAACGGAAAGGCCCUGCUUUUGUGGGGUGCUCGAGUGGCGAACGGGUGAGUAACCCGUAAGUAACCUGCCCUUGACUUUGGGAUGACUUCAGGCAACUGGGGCUAAUCCCGGCUAGGAGCUCCUGCUGCAUGGUGGGGGUUGGAAAGUUUCGGCGGUUGGGGAUGGACUCGCGGCUUAUCAGCUUGUUGGUGGGGUAGUGGCUUACCAAGGCUUUGACGGGUAGCCGGCCUGAGAGGGUGACCGGCCACAUUGGGACUGAGAUACGGCCCAGACUCCUACGGGAGGCAGCAGUGGGGAAUAUUGCACUAUGGGCUGAAGCCUGAUGCAGCAACGCCGCGUGCGGGAUGACGGCCUUCGGGUUGUAAACCGCUUUCGCCUGUGACGAAGCGUUAGUGACGGUAAUGGGUAAAGAAGCACCGGCUAACUACGUG
rnacentral:rRNA from 1 species